AUGAUCACCGAAGUUAAGCAACGUCGAGCCUGCUCAGUACAUAGAUGAGUGACCGCUUGGGAAUACCAGGUGCUGUAAU